GUGAAAAUGUACGUGGUUCAUAUGUCUACUUUUGUGUUCUCACAUGAUCCCCAAAGAGGGAGAGAGACCACAGAACAGCUUUGGUGGAAGUUGGGCUGUGUGGAUCAGCUGCAGGAGCACCCUGGAGCACUGUGGGGACUGGGUGUGUCCUGGGGACUGGUCUGUAAGGGCAUUUUUCAAAAUUUCUGCAAGGAGGACUCGAAGUAACCAAGCCUUGCCACUUAGGAGAGAGCAAAGGAUCUGAGAAGUGACACAUGCCUCCUUCCCAAGCCCCCCCAUGUCUUGGCUGCCAGCCCUGGCUCAAACAGAGAAAAUAAUUUUGUAUCCAACCACGUAUUUCAAGCCCUGUCUGGAUGGUGUUUGUGACUGUAUUUUCUAUCGUCAUUGAAAGCCACAGAGGAGGGAAAUAAGCAUCAGAGCAUCACUCACCUCACACUUUAGUAACUGGAUGCCCUCUAGCGAGGCUGCCACUGCUCUCAGAUCUGUCAGUCCUUAUUUAU